GUAAGACAGGCAAUCGCGGCUGUUUUUGACAGGUGAGGAAAGUCCGGGCUUCACAGGGCAGGAUGCCGGAUAACGUCCGGUGGAGGUGACUCCAAGGCUAGUGCAACAGAAAUAUACCGCCACGCAAGUGGUAAGGGUGGAAAGGUGGCUUAAGAGACCACCGUCCGUCCGGUAACGGGCGGAGCCAUGUAAACCCCAUCCGAAGCAAGACCAAAUAGAAAGCGAUAGGUUUGCCCGACCUGCUUUCAGGUGGGUCGCUUGAUGCGGCUGGUAACAGCCGUACUAGAUAGAUGAUUGCCAAACAACAUAACCCGGCUUAUCGUUUUGCUU
rnacentral:RNase_P_RNA from 1 species